rnacentral:siRNA from 1 species
CUCUUUUCUUCUUAAAUGUGA